CGAGCGGUAGCACAGAGAGCUUGCUCUCGGGUGACGAGCGGCGGACGGGUGAGUAAUGUCUGGGAAACUGCCUGAUGGAGGGGGAUAACUACUGGAAACGGUGGCUAAUACCGCAUAAUGUCGCAAGACCAAAGUGGGGGACCUUCGGGCCUCAUGCCAUCAGAUGUGCCCAGAUGGGAUUAGCUAGUAGGUGGGGUAACGGCUCACCUAGGCGACGAUCCCUAGCUGGUCUGAGAGGAUGACCAGCCACACUGGAACUGAGACACGGUCCAGACUCCUACGGGAGGCAGCAGUGGGGAAUAUUGCACAAUGGGCGCAAGCCUGAUGCAGCCAUGCCGCGUGUGUGAAGAAGGCCUUCGGGUUGUAAAGCACUUUCAGCGGGGAGGAAGGCGUUAAGGUUAAUAACCUUGGCGAUUGACGUUACCCGCAGAAGAAGCACCGGCUAACUCCGUGCCAGCAGCCGCGGUAAUACGGAGGGUGCAAGCGUUAAUCGGAAUUACUGGGCG
rnacentral:rRNA from 1 species